rnacentral:rRNA from 1 species
GAUGAACGCUGGCGGCGUGCUUAACACAUGCAAGUCGAACGAUGAAGCUCCAGCUUGCUGGAGUGGAUUAGUGGCGAACGGGUGAGUAACACGUGAGCAACCUGCCCCGGACUUUGGGAUAACAGUUGGAAACAGCUGCUAAUACCGAAUACGCACCAGAACGGCAUCGUUACUGGUGGGAAAGAUUUUUCGGUCCGGGAGGGGCUCGCGGCCUAUCAGCUUGUUGGUGAGGUAACGGCUCACCAAGGCGUCGACGGGUAGCCGGCCUGAGAGGGUGACCGGCCACACUGGGACUGAGACACGGCCCAGACUCCUACGGGAGGCAGCAGUGGGGAAUAUUGCACAAUGGGCGCAAGCCUGAUGCAGCAACGCCGCGUGAGGGAUGACGGCCUUCGGGUUGUAAACCUCUUUUAGUUGGGAAGAAGCCUUCGGGUGACGGUACCUUCAGAAAAAGCGCCGGCUAACUAC